CACCGGAGCCACAAGUGGUGACCAUAUUUAUUGGGUCUAAAGCGUCUGUAGCAGGUUAUGUAAAUUUCUUGUGAAAUUGUUGCGCUUAACGUAACAGCGAGCGAGAAAGACUGCAUAGCUAGGAACCGGGAGGGGGCAGAGGUACUUCAUGGGGAGCGGUAAAAUGCUAUAAUCCACGAAGGACCACCUGUGGCGAAGGCGUCUGCCUAGAACGGGUUCGACUGUGAAGGACGAAAGCUGAGGGA
rnacentral:rRNA from 1 species